rnacentral:misc_RNA from 1 species
GGUGGCAACUGAACGCAGAGGACAGAGAAAAACCCUAGACUGAUUGGAUCGACACCAUGGGAACGCCGGAAACUUCUAGGGAACCUUGCCCCGAUCGCAUUCUCGACGAUAUCGGCGGCGCUUUCGGCAUGGGAGCGGUCGGAGGCUCAGCCUUUCACUUCAUCAAAGGUCUCUACAAUUCUCCCAGGGGAUCUAGGAUUAUCGGCGGUACUCAGGCCGUCCGGAUGAAUGCGCCGCGUGUCGGCGGAAGCUUCGCUGUUUGGGGCGGCUUAUUCUCUGCUUUCGAUUGCACCAUGGUCUAUGUUCGCCAGAAGGAGGAUCCAUGGAACUCGAUCAUCGCCGGCGCCGCUACAGGCGGUUUUCUCCAGAUGCGUCAGGGACCUGCAUCGGCAGCUCGUUCGGCUUUGUUCGGCGGCGUUUUGUUGGCUUUGAUUGAAGGAGCCGGGAUUAUGCUCAACAAAGUUCUUAGCCAGCAACAGAAUAUGCCUGUUGUGAUUGAGGAGCCUGCUGGUAUGGGUGGUGUGCCUGGGUAUCCUACAGGCCAAUUACCUGGCCGUGCUCCUCCCCUGUCUCUACCACAAGCUGAACUGGCAAGUAUUUCCUCUUCUUCUCCUUCUUCUUCAGAUUCCGGUAGUGGCUCGUGGUUUGGAGGUUGGUUUGGUGGAGGCAAGAAGAAGGAAUCCGAAGUGUCGAGUGGAGGAAGCGAGACAACCAUUUUGGAGAGCUUCGAUGCACCGCCUGUUCCAAAUUUUGAGUUCAAAUAAAAUAUUUUUAUUUGGGUUUUAAGGCUUGAGAUAAGCUGAGAUUUUGAUAUAAGAAGACAAUGAAUUCAAUUGUAGAAUGUAUGGUGUGUGUUAUAGGUUGCUUCUAAUUAAUGAUAAUCGUGCAAUCAGCUGACGUUGUUCCAAAGUUAUCAAAUGAUCAUUCACGUUAUGCUGAAUUGUACAAUAAGCUUAGGCUUUGUUAUUGAUAUUAUUUGCUGUUGUAAAUAAACUACCACUUCAUGGAUUUGAUUCAUAUCUUUUUCAGUCAUGAUCAUAUAUAGAUUUG